rnacentral:rRNA from 1 species
GAGAGAAUCAUUCUCUUGUACGAGAGGACUGAGAAUGGUGAACCUAUAGUGUACCAAUUGUCGCGCCAGUGGCACAGUUGGGUAGCCACGUUCAAAACUAAGAACCGUUGAAGGCCUAUCAAGUGGGAAAUGGAGUCUCAAAA